CCCAGGGAUCCCCCAAGUGUUUCCUAAUUAAAGGGACACAGUAGACUAGCCUUACUUCAAUUUGGGAAAAAAAUUAAAAGCCUUUGCCAGCUACAUAGAUGCCAUGUCUAGGGAUCUUGACACAGUACUUCUCUUCCAUCCAUCAUAGCCAAAAGAACUUAGAUUUUAAGAAAUAGAUGUGGAACUCUCAGUAGAAAUGUUUUCUGGGGACUUUUUUUUGUGGUGGUGGUUGGAAACUUUUAAAUAGAAAUCUUGCCUAAGGGGAGCCAUGGAAGCAAGUGGCAAUGGAGAGUACUACCUGGAAUCUGCAGUUGCAGUGUGAUCAGUAGCACCUGGCCAAAAAAGGAGGUACUUCCUAUGACAAGGGACUGGCAUUCAGAGGGACUUGGGUGGAGAGAUUCUUGAGAAGCUGUGAAAGUAUCCAUAAGAAAAAGAGUCAACUUGAAAUAGUUAUCUGUUCUAAAGAGUAUGAUGCCUUUUUACCUUUCUUUCUUUUAUUUAUUUUUUUUUUUCCUUUCUUUCUUUUAAAUCCUUCAACCACAGAGGGGCUAGAAGCUGUGGUUACCAAGUUGGUGGCAGUAUAGAAAUUCCAAGAUGGGGAAGGAAAGGAAGGCAGACAAGCAAAGGCAAAGAAAGUAGGGAGGGAGGUAAGGAAGGAUGGAAAGAAAAAAAAGAAGUCAACCACUCUUCCUUUCCUUAAGUAGAGGUCUUAACUGGGAAAAUGAAAAAUUAAGUAAUUUAAUUGAGACAGAAAGUGUUUAUGAUUGGAAGGACUUAUUUUUCCAAAGAUGGGAAGAGGGCAUCACUCCUUUGAAUAAAUUAGCAACCUGAUUGUGCUAUAUGGGCACCUGGAUGAAUCCUGGAGAAGUGCUUCGUUGCUGAGACUUGCUGUGGGAGGAUUAGCACUGGUGCGGAGGCUUCCUGUGGUCAGCAUAGCCACACUACUUGCAUCUUUCAGAAUGUAUAGAGCCACAGACUCUUAGAAUCAGUCUGUGCCUGUUAAUUCACACUUAUUAGCAGUAAGAUUGGCUACACAGCUAGGCAUUUGGAAAACUGCUCUGUCUCA
rnacentral:lncRNA from 1 species